UUUUUACGGAGAGUUUGAUCCUGGCUCAGGACGAACGCUGGCGGCGUGCUUAACACAUGCAAGUCGAACGAUGAAGCUGGAGCUUGCUCCGGCGGAUUAGUGGCGAACGGGUGAGUAACACGUGAGCAAUCUGCCCUUGACUCUGGGAUAACUGCGGGAAACUGUAGCUAAUACCGGAUACUUUCCUCGGUGGGCAUCCACUGAGGAAGAAAGAAUUUCGGUCAAGGAUGAGCUCGCGACCUAUCAGCUAGUUGGUGAGGUAAAGGCUCACCAAGGCGACGACGGGUAGCCGGCCUGAGAGGGUGACCGGCCACACUGGGACUGAGACACGGCCCAGACUCCUACGGGAGGCAGCAGUGGGGAAUAUUGCACAAUGGACGAAAGUCUGAUGCAGCAACGCCGCGUGAGGGACGAAGGCCUUCGGGUUGUAAACCUCUUUUAGCAGGGAAGAAGCGAAAGUGACGGUACCUGCAGAAAAAGCACCGGCUAACUACGUGCCAGCAGCCGCGGUAAUACGUAGGGUGCAAGCGUU
rnacentral:rRNA from 1 species